GAUCUCCCAUUACUAUUACUGACAAAAUAACAUAUGGAGGAUCAUCUGUGCAUAGUUUUCUGACGUCAGCAGCUACGACACCGUGGCUAAUUCGCAAAUCACUGAAAAGUGGGAAGAUAAUAUCCCACUGCCCAUUUAGCAUCACUGGAUUUCGACCGAUUCAAAGUAGCUCUCAUUUCAAUUUCAAAUUGCAAAUAGAAGAUUCAACAUUUCAAGACGUUUGAGGUUUUAUUCUUGAGACAUGAAUGGACAAAGCCUACAUUGGAGUAAUUCCAACAUUGAAUUGUGAGAUAAAGAUUGGACUUCAACUACAGUAACCAACACUUUUAGACCUAAUCAAGACAUGAAUGAGGAGGAGAUCAAUGAAUUUCUUCUCUCAGAGAUUACUGAUGACAUGGCAGAACUAUCAGAUAUUGAUGGAGAUUCUGAUGCAGACGAUGACCUUCCCAGAACAAUACCUGAUACUUCACAUUUGGAUUAAUCAGAUACUUCAAUUACCUCAACUUCACAUUUGCAUGGAUCAGAUACCUCUGUCAUUGCAUCAUCUUCACAUUUGGACAAGUCAGAUACUUCAAUUGCCUCAACUUCACAUUCACAUAGAUCAGGUACAUCUGUCCAUGCAUCAACUUCACAUUUGGACAAGUCAGGUGUUCCAGUUACCUUCCAUUCAAACUUAGAUGAUAGACCAACAUGCUCAAAACCGUCAUUAUUUGAGCCAAUCAUCACCACAGGGAUCGCUACUCGUAGAGGGAGACAAAUAGCACUAGCAGGUCAUUCCAAACCCACUUUUGAUUCUGGUGAUUACUCACCAAUUGAUGACUCUGAUGAGGAUCCAACAUUUGAUUUGGAAAAGAAUAAAAAACAGAGACAAAGAUUUCAUUCCACAAUUCCCUCAUCUGAAUCAGAACCAGAAGAACCUAUAUUUUCAACCCCUAUGAAGAAACAAAAAAAGCAAAAUGCCUCCUUUCACUAUAGCAGAAUCUGAUUCAGAAGAAGAAGAAGAAAAUACAAGAAUGGAUGAUCAUACCUAUGCAAGCCCCAAAAAACCAAAUGAGAAAUCUUCAGAGCCAAAGCGAAUGAAAUCAACAAA